AAUAGAUACCCGGGUAGUCCUAGCCGUAAACGAUGACCACCAGGUGUGGGAGGUAUCGACCCCUUCCGUGCCGGAGUUAACACACUAAGUGCCCCGCCUGGGGAGUACGGCCGCAAGGCUAAAACUCAAAGGAAUUGACGGGGGCCCGCACAAGCGGCGGAGCAUGCGGAUUAAUUCGAUGCAACGCGAAGAACCUUACCAAGGCUUGACAUGGACCGGACCGCCGCAGAAAUGUGGUUUCCCCUUUGGGGCCGGUUUACAGGUGGUGCAUGGUUGUCGUCAGCUCGUGUCGUGAGAUGUUGGGUUAAGUCCCGCAACGAGCGCAACCCUCGUUCUAUGUUGCCAGCGGUUCGGCCGGGGACUCAUAGGAGACUGCCGGGGUCAACUCGGAGGAAGGUGGGGACGACGUCAAAUCAUCAUGCCCCUUAUGUCUUGGGCUUCACGCAUGCUACAAUGGCCAGUACAAAGGGUUGCGAUACUGUGAGGUGGAGCUAAUCCCAAAAAGCCGGUCUCAGUUCGGAUUGGGGUCUGCAACUCGACCCCAUGAAGUCGGAGUCG
rnacentral:rRNA from 1 species